rnacentral:lncRNA from 1 species
UGAUCAAUGGACAAAAUAAAAUAUCUAUAACCUAGUCAAGGAAGAAUUGGAGAUAGACCUAUAAAUCACUAUGAAUCAAAUCAAAUGGUUCAUCAACUUGGGAAUUACUAGAAGAAAGAGGUAAUUUGAAAGCUUUUCUAAGAGCACAACUUUCACACUUAUACUCAAGAAAUAUAGAUUUGAUAUUUAAUUUGUUUGGAAGAAGAUUAGACAAACAUAUGCUAUAGUCUAAUAGCAUGAGGGUGUCCAAGAUGAUGGUGCCAAAGAUCCCAAGUUUUAUCUACAAAAGAGAGAGAUGGA